rnacentral:lncRNA from 1 species
CAGCGGCCGCAGGCUGGGCUGCAGCUGCUCAGUGUCCGCGGGCUGCGCCCGGGCGCACGGAAGGAAGCAAGCGUGCGGGCUGGCGGAGCCGAGCAAGGGGAGGUGGAAGCGGCUGAUCCCGCACAGCCCCUGCCGAGCGCUGCUUCGGCGCGCGCACGCUCGCUGAGACCUUUGGGAUUUCGAGAGCUUACUUGUAAUAUACUGAACACAAAGAUGGAGGCUAAAUUGAAUAUCUUUUUUAAGUCCUCAAAGGAAGUAGAAUCAAGUGAUGCUGUUAGUACUACUACUGCUGCUUUUUCAAGUAGUAUGACGACGUCAGGAGUUGAUACCCGGAAGUACAUCAGGAUUUCUAGAACACUAGAAAAGAGAGUUUCGCCAGGCGCCAUGUCUGAGGUUAGGAUGCUGACCGCGAAAUCCAAGAAAGGGUUUGACACAACAGUGUUGGUCUGUGAAGAGGAAAAAUUAAUUCAAAGGACACCUAGCAAAAUCAAGAAAAAGAGAGAGGUAUUAAUGGAAGAUAAAGGAACUGAGAUAACACCUUCCUUAAUAAGGAUGUCAGUGAAGGAAAGGGAAAAAGAAAAGAUGAAGGAAAAAGAAAAGGAAAGGGAGAGAGAGAAGGAAAGGGAAGAAAAAGAGAGGGAGGAGAAAGAAAGAGAAAAAGAAAGAGAAAAGGAAAAGGAAAAAAACAGGGAGAAGAAGAGGAACGGCAGGGAAGAGAGUGUUUCUUUUUCCAAGUUCCAGCAGCAACAGUUUAGCACUUGCAGCAUUCCAUCAAUAAAACCAGCAUUUUGACACCUUCCCGGUAUGUCUUUGAUGCUUUUCUACUUUCUUUGAUAAUAGUGGGUUUUGGA